GCUCAGAUUGAACGCUGGCGGCAGGCCUAACACAUGCAAGUCGAACGGUAACAGGAAGCAGCUUGCUGCUUCGCUGACGAGUGGCGGACGGGUGAGUAAUGUCUGGGAAACUGCCUGAUGGAGGGGGAUAACUACUGGAAACGGUAGCUAAUACCGCAUAACGUCGCAAGACCAAAGAGGGGGACCUUCGGGCCUCUUGCCAUCGGAUGUGCCCAGAUGGGAUUAGCUAGUAGGUGGGGUAACGGCUCACCUAGGCGACGAUCCCUAGCUGGUCUGAGAGGAUGACCAGCCACACUGGAACUGAGACACGGUCCAGACUCCUACGGGAGGCAGCAGUGGGGAAUAUUGCACAAUGGGCGCAAGCCUGAUGCAGCCAUGCCGCGUGUAUGAAGAAGGCCUUCGGGUUGUAAAGUACUUUCAGCGGGGAGGAAGGCGAUAAGGUUAAUAACCUUGUCGAUUGACGUUACCCGCAGAAGAAGCACCGGCUAACUCCGUGCCAGCAGCCGCGGUAAUACGGAGGGUGCAAGCGUUAAUCGGAAUUACUGGGCGUAAAGCGCACGCAGGCGGUCUGUCAAGUCGGAUGUGAAAUCCCCGGGCUCAACCUGGGAACUGCAUUCGAAACUGGCAGGCUAGAGUCUUGUAGAGGGGGGUAGAAUUCCAGGUGUAGCGGUGAAAUGCGUAGAGAUCUGGAGGAAUACCGGUGGCGAAGGCGGCCCCCUG
rnacentral:rRNA from 1 species